UCCAGAUGUGAAAUCAGGGGACCUGAAUUCCAUCUCAGCCCUGCCACAGACUAGCCAUGACACUUUAAUAACAGAACUUCAGAAUGUUAGAGCCAUCUGGAAUAAAGACCGUAUUUCUCAGCCUCCCUUGCAGGCUCUAAAGAAGAAGAACAUGACCUUCAAUCUUACAGAAAUGUCAGUGUCCGACUCAAGAUAAAAAUCGUGAGUCACUUCUCAAAACUUA
rnacentral:lncRNA from 1 species